rnacentral:rRNA from 1 species
AGCAGCCGCCGCGGUAAUACAGAGGUUGCGAGCGUUAAUCGGAUUUACUGGGCGUAAAGCGUGCGUAGGCGGCUUCUUAAGUCGGAUGUGAAAUCCCUGAGCUUAACUUAGGAAUUGCAUUCGAUACUGGGAAGCUAGAGUAUGGGAGAGGAUGGUAGAAUUCCAGGUGUAGCGGUGAAAUGCGUAGAGAUCUGGAGGAAUACCGAUGGCGAAGGCAUCCAUCUGGCCUAAUACUGACGCUGAGGUACGAAAGCAUGGGGAGCAAACAGGAUUAGAUACCCGAGUAGUCCCUGUCUCUUAUAC